CCUACGGGUGGCUGCAGUGAGGAAUAUUGGUCAAUGGCCGUAAGGCUGAACCAGCCAAGUCGCGUGCAGGAAGAAGGAUCUAUGGUUUGUAAACUUCUUUUAUAGGGGAAUAAAGGUAUCCACGUGUGGAUAGUUGCAUGUAACCGAUGAAUAAGCAUCGGCUAACUCCGUGCCGGCAGCAGCGCUAAUACGGAGGAUGCGAGAGUUGUCCGGAUUUAUUGGGUUUAAAGGGUGCGUCGGUUGCUUUUUAAGUCAGCGGUGAAAGUUUGUGGCUCAAACAUAAAAUUGCCGUUGAAACUGGAAGACUUGAGUGUGUUUGAGGUAGGCGGAAUGCGUGGUGUAGCGGUGAAAUGCAUAGAUAUCACGCAGAACUCCGAUUGCGAAGGCAGCUUACUAAGCCAUAACUGACACUGACGCACGAACGCGUGGGGAUCAAACAGGAUUAGAUACCCCUGUAGUC
rnacentral:rRNA from 1 species